rnacentral:lncRNA from 1 species
GCCUGCUGUGUGGAGGAUUAGCCAUCGUCGAAUCAACAAGCGUUAGCCUGGCGUCGUCGGAUCUUGCGCUGGGGAGGACGGCUGUUCCUAGUGAGCUGUGGACUUCAAGCAUGGCAUUUUCCGCCAUGGAUAAAAAAUAGGCAUCGACCUUGGAAUUAUUGUUUCAGGGAGUUUGGUCCGGUACCAUGAGCAACAUUGGGUUUCAAUGAAUUUUGCUGUAUUAUUCGUCAUACCUUCAAUGAGCUCCAAUGACCGCCAACUUUAGCUUACAAGCUUGUUAGUUAAACAGUGUCUGUGAGUUUUAUAAGAGUACACUGUAAUACCCGGGAUUAUAUUUUUACUUCUCUACACUGUAAUUGAUUAUAGUGCAGCUGAUCAUUUUUGUUUAGCUAAUAUAUUCAAGUCAAAUUGCUUUCCCUGUGUGGUUGUAUUUUCAUUGAGUCAUACUGCAUUUAUUCUUGUUGCAUGAUGGGAGAACAUUCUGUAAACAGUAAGCUUUUAUACAUCUCUUAAUAAUAUCCCUAGCCUCUUGUUUUUCUCCUAGUGAGUCAUUAUCAGGUAAUUUACUGAGCUAUCCUUUCACCAUUAUUCCCAUGCUGGUCAAUCUGAGUCUUGUGAUGAGAGGGUUACAUGAGGAGUAUGGUAAGAGGAGGUAGUUACAGUACAUAAAGGUUUGGAUGGCUAUAUAUGCUCUAUGCUAGCUAUAGCCAUUAUAUUGACCUUCAUCAACAUGUUGUUGAGGGUCUUGCACUCAACAACCCCAAAGGAUAUAGUAGAAUUUCAUUACUGUAGGCUACCAAACCACCCCAGCUAAUAUAAUAUAACCAGUCCACUUCCUGUAGGCUACCACACCACCCCAGCCAAUAUAAUAUAACCAGUCCACUUCCUGUAGGCUGCCACACCCCCCCCCAGCCAAUAAAAUGUAACCAGUCCACUUCCUGUAGGCUACCACACCACCACAGCCAAUAUAAUAUAACCAGUCCACUUCCUGUAGGUUACCACACCACCACAGCUAAUAUAAUAUAACCAGUCCACUUCCUGCAGGCUACCACACCACCACAGCCAAUAUAAUAUAACCAGUCCACUUCCUGUAGGUUACCACACCACCACAGCUAAUAUAAUAUAACCAGUCCACUUCCUGUAGGCUACCACACCACCCCAGCCAAUAUAAUAUAGCCAGUCCACUUCCUGUAGGCUACCACACCACCCCAGACAAUAUAAUAUAACCAGUCCACUUCCUGUAGGCUACCAUACCACCCCAGCCAAUAUAAUAUAACCAGUCCACUUCCUGUAGGCUACCAUACCACCCCAGCCAAUAUAAUAUAUCCAGUCCACUUCCUGUAGGCUACCAUACCACCACAGCCAAUAUAAUAUAACCAGUCCACUUCCUGUAGGCUACCAUACCACCCCAGACAAUAUAAUAUAACCAGUCCACUUCCUGUAGGCUACCAUACCACCCCAGACAAUAUAAUAUAACCAGUCCACUUCCUGUAGCCUUGUCCUCUUCCUGUUGCCAGUCCACUUGUCAUCUCAAAUCCCCAUGCACCAGCACCUCCACUGACCCUAGUCCUGCUCCCUCCCUCAAUCCCUCCCUACCUCUCCCUUCCUCAAUCCCUCCCUAUCUACACCCCUCCCUCUUAUACAUCCCUGUCUGUCCG